UAAACUCAAUCAAUAUAUUAAAAGAGUUAUCAUCUCUACCAAAAUGAAAUGUUUCAUACAACUUUGUAAGGACUAAAGACAAAAAAAAAAAUAAUUAUAACAAAUAGCCAUAGUAAUGUAUCUGUUGACUAUUUUGAAAGUCUUUUACAUUUAACUU